UACGUAGGGUGCGAGCGUUAAUCGGAAUUACUGGGCGUAAAGCGUGCGCAGGCGGUUUUGUAAGCCAGAUGUGAAAUCCCCGGGCUUAACCUGGGAAUGGCAUUUGGGACUGCAAGGCUGGAGUUUGGCAGAGGAGACUGGAAUUCCCGGUGUAGCAGUGAAAUGCGUAGAUAUCUGGAGGAACACCGGUGGCGAAGGCGGCAUCCUGGACCAACACUGACACUGAGGAGCGAAAGCCAGGGGAGCAAACGGG
rnacentral:rRNA from 1 species